GUGAUACCUGGCAUCCCCCCAGGCCUCUUUUGUUGCGUUUUAUCUAACCUUGUGUUAUUUAGAUAAUCCUUCAUUGCCAGAGACCGUUUUGGAAAUGCAGGUCAGAAAUAAAAGGCAAUGGGAGUCCCCAAUAAACAACUUCCUUGUCUUCUAAAGACUCAAAAGGAAUUUGCAGUUCCCAGCCCCCUCCUGCUGUCCACCUUCCCCGAGCUGAUCUCUGGAACAAUGAGUGCCCAGAAGUUCAGCUGCCUCCUCCUUGGACAGCAGCCAACUCCCACUGCAGGAAAAACCCACAGAGAUGACACAGCUCAGAGCUCGAUUAUGCAGAAGAGAAGUCAUUGUUUUCUCGGGGAUUUUGGACAACUAAAAAUGUACUCGGAGAAAGUCUAAAAUCAACCACUGAAAUCCACCAGACACACCAUUACCUCACAGAGAGCUGAGGGCAAUUCUAGCAAAAACAAGUUACAGAAACUAAAAAUGGCUGCGUCAUCAGCCUUCCCCAAAAUGCUGUCGGGAAGAGGCAGCCUGGGCCUCUCCCUCUCAGGCACUGAACAUCUCUAGGCUGAAGAGUAAAGGAAACAUUCUCCUCUUGUCUUCCUGAGAAGAGCAUCCGUCUUUAAGUGUACCCUCCUCCAAGACACAGCGGAAGGAUUCUGUGUUGGUAGAAUUCUCUUUCUGGGGGAGAACACAGGAGAAAGCAUCUUGAAAAAGAGAUUUCUCAUCCCCAGUUCGAGAGCUCCAUGCUGCUAGUUCCCUUCUUUAGUUUAUUCGCCACGUAAUGUCCUUGGCCCUGGGCCCUGCAGCCUGUUUGUGGAUCUUUCCAGAGAGGCCUGGCUGUGGAAGCCCAGCUGUAGCACUGUGGGGUGUGGGAGGACAAAAUGACAACAAGGGGCAGACGCAGCUCUGCAGACCAGCUGCUUCAGCCUGUUUCUCCCCAGCUUAAGAUCUCUGCAAGGCCCCUCACUGGCUUCACCGAGCAUUUCCAGACCUUCCUUCCCCAGGCUGUCCACCCUCCCUGUGGCCUUUCCUCUUGUUCUGGUUAACCUGGGGUGGAGACGGUCUACUGACCCCCUCCCCGGCAGAGAACAGAGUCUACCACGCUUUCCUCAGUCCCUUCAUUGUGCCUGGUGCAUCUGCAGGACAGGAAAUCCAGCGGCAGCGUUAUUUUCUGUAACAUUUAUUGAGCACUGUGCCAUACGCGUUCCAUGAACCAUCUCUUUUCAGUUCUCACAGCCACCCUGUGAGGGAGGUGCUGCUGUUAACCCCUUGGACAGAUGAGGAAACUGAGGCCCGGGCUGUCUCUCUUGGCAUCACUAGUGCCUGGCACACAUUAGGAGCUCAAAAUGUGCCUACUGAAUAAUGACUAAAUGAAUAAAUUGGAAUAGUAUCUCUUUGGGAAUUAAAAAACCAGGCAUGGGCUUCCCUGGUGGCGCAGUGGUUGGGAGUCUGCCUGCCGAUGCAGGGGACGCGGGUUUGUGGCCCGGUCCGGGAGGAUCCCACAUGCCGCGGAGCGGCUGGGCCCGUGAGCCAUGGCCGCCGAGCCUGCGCGUCCGGAGCCUGUGCUCCGCAACGGGAGAGGCCACAGCAGUGAGAGGCCCGCGUACCGCAAAAACAAACGAACAAAACAAAACAAAAAAACCCAGGCAGAACAGUGAAAAGAGCACAUGCAGUAGAUGCCCCGUAAGUGCAGAGUGACUGAGCGACUGGUAACCCAGCUCGGGAGGGGCUGUGAAAGGACAAUGUGUCCCCCAUCCUGGAGUGUCCAGUCCAGAGACACUUGUGUAAAGCAAGCUCAGUGGUUCUCUGAGGUUUCCAGCUGUUUGUUGCGCUGUGUAAGUACUGGAGCGCGGUGGUGAGGAAGAAGGCACAAGCUGAUGUGCUUUGAUAGGAACAAAAUGCUUUUAGAUGUGACAUAAACACGACCGCCCGGCAGGAUGGAGUGAAAUCCGCACUGAGUGGUACUGCGUAAGAAACUGCGGAACUUCUAAACAGACUGACCCAUAGAGGUGGGGAAGGGUGCGGCCUGGAAGGCUGCCUUGGGUCUCCGUGGAGCUCCUGCCUCCAGAGCGCAGGGGUGUGAGCCCACCCUCAGGAUUCAGGGCUUGCUGCCCCUCUGCUGGAGGACUCACCGCGGGAAGCAGGAAGUGCUGUGUCCAGUCUCACCCGCGCUGCGCGGGGCCUGUGAGUGGACCUUCCAGAAUAGCCUGAAGGAACUGUGAGGCUUCCCAGUGGGUCAUAUUCCCAGUAUCCACAGUCUUAUAACCCUGAUCUGUUCAGUCACCCACCUGAGGUCCCAGGCAGAUGCUUGUGUUAGCACCACAUACCCAGCAUGAUGCUCAUUAAACCUUUCACCCCUCCUACACACACACACACACACACACACACACACACACACACACACACACGUGUUCAUUCUUCCUCAACACAGCUGUGGCCCACAUCCCACAGAGACAAGUCUCAUGGAACAGGGGUAGAGGUCACCCGGUUCUAGGAUCUUUGCCUGAGGUGUAUUUCUCAGCACAUGCCAGUUCCCUGACCAGGGAUGGAACCUGUGCCCCCAGCAGUGGAAGCGCAGAGUCUUAACCACUGGACCCCACCAGGGAAGUCCCCUUUUCUUUUUUUUUUAAGCAUUCAUGUUCAUCUUUAUUUAUUUAUUUGUUUGUUUGUUUGUAGGCACUCAAUAGAUGUUUGUUAAAAGAAAGGUCCUUUAAAUUCUAUAGUGUUUUACAAUUUUCAAAAGUUUCACAGAGCUUCCCUGGUGGCACAGUAGUUAAGAAUCCGCCUGCCAAUGCAGGGGACUCGGGUUCUGUUCCUGGGCCGGGAAGAUCCCCCAUACCGCAGAACAACUAAGCCCGUGCGCCACAACUACUGAAGCCCACGUGCCCAGAGCCCGCGCUCUGCAACAAGAGAAGCCACGGCAAUGAGAAGCCUGCACACCACGACGAAGAGUAGCCCCCGCUCGCCGCAACUAGAGAAAGCCUGCGUGCAGCAAGGAAGACCCCAUGCAGCCAAAGAUAAAUGAAUAAACAAAUGGAUUUAUUUAAAAAAAAGUUUCACACACAUGAUUUCAUAUAAUCCCGUAAUAACCCUUUGUUUUCCUACCCCUAUCUUGCCCCUCCCCCUUCCCUCUCCCCACUGGUAACCACUAGUUUGUUCUCUAUCUGUGAGUCCACACUCAUGUUCUUUACUCUCGAUGACACAUCUGCAUGGAAUGCACCUCCCCCACUCUUCAGAUGACACUCAUUCUCAUCGCCCUGCCUAGCCGUCACUCCUGGGAAAGGGCCAAGGGCCUCUCUGCCCAGCACUUCCAAAGUCAUCCUGUAUCACCACCCCACAGUGACUCACUGUCACAGCACAGCCUAUGUUUUCCUGGAUGAAUACGUGUUCGUUAACAUGUCCCCCUAACUCUUCGGAGGGUUAAGGGAACUCCAGGGUUUGCAGCCUGGUCAGCAGUGAGGAUGGGGUACGACUGCUGGAGGCUGAAAGUGGGGACAGAGGGGCCUCGGGCUCACUCUCGUGCACAGACGGGAGAUGGGUCUGUGCCAGCCUCCCGGCGAGUCCCAGCUGUGGACAAAGGGUGGGAACUCGGCAGAGUUGUCACUUGGCUCCGUUUGGUAACUUGUUGCUCUAAGGCCAGAGCUCAUUCUGGCCCCUGCAUUCCCAGCUGCUGCCUGCUCGGAGCAGCUAACCUGAGAUGGGGCGCAGCUCAGGGUCCAGAGGAGGGAAGUAGGGGGAGGGGAGAGAGACGAGAGAGCUUCCUGUGUCUUCCCGGCUCUCCACAGACGUCACUUCUGCUUGGGGGCUUCCAGAAACAGAGGAAGCCCUCCCCGCUGAAUGGUCCGUCCCUCCUAUAGUCUCCUGCGGCUGUCAUCAUCCAGUGACCUCACCAGCACUCCUGUGAUCGUGCCCUUCGCUCAGUGACUCAUCUAUUGUUACCCUGAGCUAUGGAGAACGCCCUCAUCUUCUUCCUCAAGGAAUUUCUGAGCCUCUGCUUAUGGCUUUGGUUACCAAUCCACCCCUGGUUUCUGUGAAAUGGGAUAUUCAUUCCAGGACACCCUACCUUCUAGGGCUGGAGUAAGUUUGCAAAUGCUCACUGUAAACUAAAGCUCUGUGCACUCGCCAUGUGUCU